GGGGAGGGGAAAAGGGAGCGAGGUGUCUCCCCAGCUCGCAGCCUCUGGCAAGUGGAGUUUUUAAAAAGCUCGAGCAGAUCAUGUCAUGACGACUUCGCUGCUCCUGCAUCCUCGCUGGCCGGAGAGCCUUAUGUACGUCUAUGAGGACAGCGCGGCGGAGAGCGGCAGCGGCGGCGGCGGCGGCGGCGGCGGCGGCGGCGGCGGCGCGGGCGGCGCGGGGGGUGGCUGCAGCGGAGCGAGCCCCGGCAAAGCCCCGAGCAUGGACGGGCUGGGCAGCAGCUGCCCGGCCAGCCACUGCCGCGACCUGCUUCCGCACCCGGUGCUGGGCCGCCCGCCGGCUCCCCUGGGCGCCCCUCAGGGCGCCGUCUACACGGACAUCCCGGCCCCGGAGGCGGCGCGCCAAUGCGCCCCGCCGCCGGCGCCCCCCACCUCGUCCAGCGCCACUCUGGGCUACGGCUACCCUUUCGGUGGCAGCUACUACGGCUGCCGCCUGUCGCACAACGUGAACCUGCAGCAAAAGCCUUGCGCCUACCACCCGGGCGAUAAGUACUCCGAGCCGUCGGGCGCCCUGCCGGGUGACGACCUGUCCUCCAGGGCCAAGGAGUUCGCCUUCUAUCCCAGCUUCGCCAGCUCCUACCAGGCGAUGCCCGGCUACCUGGACGUGUCUGUGGUGCCUGGGAUCAGCGGGCACCCGGAGCCGCGUCACGACGCGCUCAUCCCCGUCGAAGGCUACCAGCACUGGGCUCUCUCCAACGGCUGGGACAGUCAGGUGUACUGCUCCAAGGAGCAGUCUCAGUCCUCCCACCUCUGGAAGUCUCCCUUUCCAGGUAAGGAAGGGGCCCGAGCGCCGCCGCCGCCGCCGCCAGGGACCCGUCCCAGCCCCGCCUGCCCCGGGGCUCCGCGCCCCAGCCACCCCCGCCGUCUGGCCCCGGCGCGCCGGCUCUCCUGGGCUGCCGAUGGAGCCGGCCGGGCGAGCUGCGCUGAGGAAUGCGCCGGGGAAGAAAUCUGCUCCGACACGUUCCCCGGAGCUGCCGGGCGGAGAGUGAAGCAAUCACAGGCGCCCGAGCGCCCGGCCGCCGGCUCCGCUCCAGUCGGGAGCUUGUCUCCUCCUCCCCCAGCGGGCUCCAGUCUCACGCGCGGCUCUUGGCCUCCUAAGCCCGCUUCCGGCCAGGAAUGGGGGGGGGGGGGGGGCCUUGGGUGCCUUGGAAUCCAAAACCACUAGGACAAAACGCUCAACCCACCGAUUAAUUGGGGAAAAAAAUUAGAACCCCCAAACAUUUUGUUUGCCUGAAUGUCCAAGAUCAUUCAGGCACUGCAGGCACUGGACAGUUUUUGUUGUUUUUAAAUAGGGGUCUAAUUUGCCGGGAUCUACAGAAAUGUAGGGUGUUUUCUUUUUUCUUUUCUUGAUUUAUUUUAAGAAUUUGGCCACGAAUUUCCUGAUUGUUAAAGGAACAAGAGAGCUAAAAUCUCUAGAGAGGGUGUGGAGAAAAGGGAAUUCACAUCCCUCUCCUGGAUUAUAAAAUUCUUUGCCUCUCUGGUGCACUGAGCUCAAAUCCUGUGGGUGUUCGCACUACCAACUCCCCCAAAUGCGGGAGAGAAGGAGAGUUCCCCAUGCCUUAGACACAGGGGAGUGUCUCUUUCUCUUAGAGGGGAGUGAGGAUGAGGGUGGGGGGGAGACCUGCUUUGGAAGGAUCUGAGGUCCAGGCCCAGGCAGGGGACCCCUCUGCAUUGUCUGGCUCCAUAUGCGGUGGGGGAUUGGAAUUUACUGGUGUUCUGUUCCCUUUCCAAUUGAGGCUAUCUCUGAACAGGAAGGGAUCCUGCAAACCACCACCCCCCCACACUCCACAGGGGAAAAGACCAGUUCCAGGUUUCUCAAAACCACAUCAGGAGCUUCGUAUUCAGCUUUGUGCUGAGAAAUCAGGAUUCAGGGUCUAGUGAAUCCAGAGCUUGAGUCUGCUCUUGCUAUAUAUGAGCAGAGCUCAGUGGGAGAGGGCUGACUGGCUCCGUUCUGAUGCCUACAGGGGUCCUGGGGGCCCCGACCAGCCAUAUAUGGCUCCCCACACUGCCCAGAGCCCCCCCCCUCCCCAACUCUACAUGUGGACCCAGGGACAUUUUCAUUGGGAAGUGUAGACCUGAAGACCUCCUAAGGGUGGGCCUGAAAUUCCUCUGCAUCCAGGAUUGGGGCAAGGACAGAUGGUUAAAAAAAAUUACUGAAUGAUAUUAAAAAGUGUAGCAAAUAACAUUCUUGUAAAUAUUAUAAGAUGACUUAGUAUAACACAACUGACCAAGGUGGGACCCACACUAGACACCCAAUUUCUGGCUGCCAGAAGAUUUAGGUUGAUAGAAUUUUAGUACAUGGUGUCAUGCGUUACCUACUCUGCAUUGACUAUAUUUUUAUAUAAUAUGAUUUCUGUUAUUAACCACCUAAUACGAAACACAUAAUAACACUUUUCUAGAAGAUAGGCAACUCACAUGUAGGUGUACAAUAGUGUGUUGUGGAGAUAUGGCCCUUUAAUUUCCCAUCCCACCCAGAUGGGAAGCUGCUUAGGAGAUGGGGGUUUAGCAGGAAUUCCUGGAGCAUCAGUAGCUGGUAGCCAACAGGCCAUGCUAAGGGGCUGAAGGGCAGAGGGGCAGAUGCCCACCCAGCCCACUGUGGGCAGAGGCACAAGUCUAGAGCAGUGGACGGUGGGUUUAGUGUGAAGAGGGGAUGAGAGGGAGCUGCUCUGGCAUUGCUGUGUAUGCAUGUGGAGCAAGGUGGGAGUGAGAGAUUGGAGAGAAGCUCAAAGAAAUAUCUUUGAGCAAAAUAAACAUCUUAAAGAUUCCCAGGAAAAAAAAAAACUAAAAGUAAGCACUUUUUUAUCACAGCCUCCUAGAGAAAAAUAUCUUUGACAUAAAAAAAUAUAUAGCCCAACUGAGAUUUAAUACACUUGCAAAUUAUGGCAUGGAAGUGGAUAUAAAAACCCAGUGUAUCUCAACAGCUAUGUGCUCACACACUCCCGGUGUGGAAAUAGAAUCGGGCUGGUGUAUCUCAGUGAGUGCAGAGGUCCAGGCAAAAGGCAGAUGAAUAAGAAAUUAUGCUCAGACACCCUCCAUCUUUCUACCCACACAGAGCUCCUUUAAAGUAGUGAGAUUUCCAGAUAACUCUGUCUAUGCAAUUGUGGUUUGUUCAGCAGCAUCUAGGCAUAAACACUACUGUCUCUUUUCAGUGCCUCUGGCUCUGAGAGACCUCAUCUAUGGCAGUCUGGGCUGGUGUGGGAGAUGAAGGCAAUUGUUCAGAAAGAUCCAGAUAAUUAGGGCCCAGCUGAGUUGUGGCUUCUUCCUUCACCCAAUUAUCUAGACCCUUGCUUCUUUGCUCUUUUUUUUUUCUUCCUAUAGUGAGUAUAGACAGUUUUUAAUUUUGACAGAGAGAGGCAGAAAUUCCAAGAGAGAAUCAGCAGAAAUUCCAAGAGAGAAGCAGAGAGGAGGGGGGCGGGGUGGGGGAGACAGGGAGAGACAGAGACAGAUAGGAUAGGAGGAGACAGUAAGAGAGAGAAGGAGAUAAUGGGCUCUUUGGGCCAUACUGGAAGUCUCUACUGACAAGUCUUUGGAAUUUGCUUGAGAAGAGUGGCUAGGAUUUCUAGCUGAACAAGGUCCUCUUCGGAGGACCAGAGCCCUGUUUGGGGAGUGGGUGGGUCAAGAGCCAGUGGGCAGUAGGAACAUGUACACAGGACCCCAAGAGAGAGCUGUGGCUGAGCAUUGAUCUGAUUUUUAUCUGCUCCUCAAAAGUGUCUAUUAGGUUCCCAGGUAUGAAGUGGUGUGUGUGUGUGUGUGUGUGUGUGUGUGUGUGUGUGUGUGUGCACGCCCACACGCUCUGAAGGGAGAUUAGGGAAAGGUUGAUUGUAAAAUUAAUCACCAAGUCCUCUACUUACUUUAGGCAGCAUAGACACAACUCGAGGCCUAAGCUUCCAGAUGUUUCCACAUCUGCAGAUCCCACUUCCUUUCCAGACAAGACAGCAGACAAUGAAAGGGGGCUUCUUUCAGAAGGCAAGACUGAAGGUAUUUCCCCAGUUGGCCAAAACAACCAGCCGUUAGGUCUGAUCCAUGAAAAACUUGGCCACAUCAACUCUUGGCAUUCUGUAGAGAAAAAUAACCAAUUUAGACCAGCUAUCUGCUUUUUUUAAACUGAUUUUUUAGGGUUUGUUGAUUAAGCCUCAUUGGAAAUUUAUAGUUGUGGUUUAGGAGACCCAAAAUCGGGUAGAUAAUUGUGAGCAUUUCCAGAAAGUGAAGUUUAAAAAAAUCAGGGACAAUUAUCUGGUUAAUUCAGGAACCCAAACCCACGUUUAUCCCAUUUGCUCUCCAGGAAAAAGGAGGUACUUUAAAGCUAAAUUGUACCAAGCGGUCUGUUUCCAUUUUAGAACUCACUGUGUCAUUAUGUUGAGUCCAAAAAUCUGGGUUUGAAAUCUGGCUCUGCCACUUAAGUUCCUUUACCUACUCUGAACCUCAGAUUCCUUAUCUUGUAAAAUGGGUUUAAUAAAAUAAGACUGGAAAAAAUGUUCCGAGGAUUAAAAAAAAAGCCUCACGGUAUCAUUACUGACCCUCUCUGUUUUACUCCUAUUCCAGAAUCAUCAGUUUCUCAAAUCAUAGUUACAUCUGUAAGAGUAAGACACAUUUAAGAACUGUGAGACUUUUAAAAAUUAUCUUGUGCAAAAAAAAAAAAUCCUUUUUAACAUAAAGGAUCUGCUCUGCUAAAGUGAAGUUGUUUUGUUUUGCAGAUUAAAAAAAAAAAAAACUUGGCCUGUUCCUACAUAGGCAGAGAAAAGUGACAAGUCCAACAAUUUUCCCGAAAAAUUGUCGUCAUGAAGACAGCCAGACCAGGCCAUUGGAACCCCCUCUCUCCCAUAUUCUUUCUGCGUACUUUAUUCGCCCCCUGCAUUUGAUGGUGACCUCUUCUCUCCCCAUCCUGUGUAGACAAGGGUCCCUGAGAGAGAGCAGACCCAAUGAGAAUGGGUAUAAGGAAGGUGUUUCAUGAGGGUGGGGGGGGGGGGGCAGUGAGAACAAGCAUUUCAGAAAGAGCUUUGUGUCCUUAUUCUAGACUGUGUCUACACUUCCAAAGGGCAGUAAGAAUGAAGGGGAAAUCUCAAAUAUUCAGUCCUACUCAUUAAAUCCUGCAUGAAGAACUCUGCCAAUUACGUUUUUAAAAAUUGAAGGACGUGGUCCCCCUACAGCCCGAGGUCAACAGCUACCGCCGCGGGCGCAAGAAACGCGUGCCCUACACCAAGGGGCAGCUGAAGGAGCUAGAGAAGGAGUAUGCGGCCAGC